GCUGGGUCUCUCUGGACUGGCCUCUCCCUUUGUGCGCAACCUCGCGCUUUUUGGUCACCCUUCCAGGACGCGGCCUCCUCGCUUUUUAAAACUCCUGACCUCUACGAAGUGGAACUGUUAGCCCUCCGUUUAUUGCCUUACUUUACACUGAAAUAACCCAACGUUUAUUUUAUUUUAUUUUUUAUUUAUUUAUUUUUUUGAGACGGAGUCUCGCUCUGUCCCAGGCUGGAGUGCAGUGGCGCGAUCUCGGCUCACUGCAACCUCCGCCUCCCUGGUUCAGGCUAUUCUCCUACCUCAGUCUCCCGACUGGCUGGGAUUACAGGCGCCCGCCACCACGCCCGGCUAAUUUUUGUAUUUUUAGUAGAGACGGGGUUUCACCAUGAUGACCAGGCUGGUCUCCAACUGCUAACCUCGUGAUCCUCCCGCCUCAGCCUCCCACAGUGCUAGGAUUAAAGGCGGUAGCCACCAUGCCCGGCCUCCAAAGUUUAUUUUUAAGUCUGUCAUAUCUCACCUUAAAUGUGUAAGUCUCCGAACUGUAAGGCUUUAAACAAAGGAAAGUUCCAUGAGAAUACUAUGUGAUGCCUACUGUUAAGAACGCGGUAACAGGAGCUGGAGGCUGGCCCAUCCACUCCAAGCCAGAGAACAAGCAGAGGCUGCCACAGGAGAUCCUAGGCAAGCAAUCAGCCACAGCAUCUAGAUUAGCAUGAAGGAAACACUGGCCAAAUUAAAAGAU